rnacentral:rRNA from 1 species
GAUCCUGGCUCAGGACGAACGCUGGCGGCGCGCCUAACACAUGCAAGUCGAACGAGCGAGAGAGAGCUUGCUUUCUCGGGCGAGUGGCGAACGGGUGAGUAACGCGUGAGGAACCUGCCUCAAAGAGGGGGACAACAGUUGGAAACGACUGCUAAUACCGCAUAAGCCCACGGGUCGGCAUCGACCUGAGGGAAAAGGAGCAAUCCGCUUUGAGAUGGCCUCGCGUCCGAUUAGCUAGUUGGUG